ACGCUCGACACCUACGUGAGGCAGCAGUGGGGAAUAUUGGGCAAUGGGCGCAAGCCUGACCCAGCAACGCCGCGUGAAGGAUGAAGGCUUUCGGGUUGUAAACUUCUUUUAUUCGGGACGAAGAAAAUGACGGUACCGAAUGAAUAAGCCACGGCUAACUACGUGCCAGCACGCCGACGGUAAUCUGAGGCGGGCGUGGACGAAGGC
rnacentral:rRNA from 1 species